UGAGUUGUGUCACCCUUCUUGGUUGAGGGGAAGUCUAGCGACUAGCCGGUCCACUCUGUCCUCACGCCAACCGAUAGGAAUCUGGCUAACUGCAGCUAAAGCGAACCAAAGUAACCAAUCAGAGGCUCCGCCGAGCAUCACUGACGUAACCGGAACAUCACGUUGAGUGGAUGUACUGACGCAAGGGUUGGAGCUGUCGUAGGAUGCCUUUGAUACGGGGCCGAAAAAUGCGGGGGAACGAGCGAGGAUUUCCUCACAAUUUAACUAACGGCAGAUUAAAGGUAUAUCAAAGAGACUGGACGAGGCCUGGCGAAAACGAUUACCAGCAAAUCUGCAGGAGGAAAUGGACGGCUUAACCGAUUUCAUAGUGAAGUCAUGUUAGAACAGAAUCAGAGAUAAAAAUCACACACAAACGAUGCCAUCUCAGCAUGUCGGUAUUAAUAAUUCAUCAUCGGCCUCCAGUGUUUGCCCCUGAUUACGAACACUGGACCUGCUCAAACGGCCAUUAAUCUGGCAAUAAUGAUCACAGAGAUGCUGUAAAUUGCUGUUUGGUGGUGUCAAACAA